UUUGAAAUCUGACUCUCGGGUCCGACUUGUAAUCUGCAGAUGAGUCUUUUGGCGGAGCGCCGUCCAAGUUCCCUGGAACGGGACGCCGGAGAGGGUGAGAGCCCCGUACCGACGUGCGCCGAGUCUUUGCAAAGCUCAUUCGAAGAGUCGAGUAGUUUGGAAAUGCUGCUCUAAUUGUGGGGUAAAUCUCCCAUAAGGCUAAAUAUUGGCCAGAGACCGAUAGCGCACAAGUAGCGUGAGCGAAAGAUGAAAAGAGCCUUGAACAAGGGCGUCAAAAAGCAUGUGAAAUUGUUAUGGGGGAAGCGCUCAAUGCCAGACGUGGCGGCGGUUGGUUACCCGGUGUUCUUCGCCGGCGCACUCUGCCGUCUGCCAGGCCAGCAUCAGUUCGGUCCGGGGCUUACUUCCGUUCGGAAUGUGGCUCUUCGGAGUGUUAUAGCCCUGCGGCGACGCCCUGGGCCGGACUGAGGAACGCGCAUCUGCCCGGAUGCUGGCGUAAUGGCUUUUAGCGACCCGUCUUGAAACACGGACCAAGGAGUUGACCUAGUAUGCGAGUGUUUGGGUGUAAAGCCCUCACGCGUAGUGAAAGCGAACGCAGGUGGGAGCUUCGGCGCACCAUCGACCGAUCCUGAAGUUUACGGACGGAUUUGAGUAGGAGCAUGCUGGGUCUGACCCGAAAGAAGGUGAACUAUGCAUGAAUAGGGUGAAGCCAGAGGAAACUCUGGUGGAGGCUCGCAGCGGUUCUGACGUGCAAAUCGAUCGUCAAAUUUGUGCAUGGGGGCGAAAGACCAAUCGAACCUUCUAGUAGCUGGUUCCUGCCGAAGUUCCCUCAGGAUAGCAGAGUUGAUCCUCAGUUUCAUGAGGUAAAGCGAAUGAUUA
rnacentral:rRNA from 1 species